UUCGUCUCGCGCUUCCCGUCACGAUAAACGAAAUGUUUCACGAUAAAUUCUCCGCGAGGACACACGCCGACAGCUCGCACUGUAGAAGGACCGUAAAAUCAUUAUCGAUACUCGUGCAGAGGAUGAUAACCUGAAACCCCGCCGCACCUCUAUCCCGUGGCACGCUAUCGUGACGAUAAGUUAAGGUUAUGUUUACGUCGCGCGGGUGCCGCGCUCGCGAGGGCGAGGAAUGAUAGCGGGUGCCGCGUUUUGAAAUCGUCGCCAAUCGUCACGACGACCGCAGUCAUGGAAUCGCUGCGCGUGUUUCACAGUUUUAAGCUCGACACCCUCGACGAGGGCUGGAUCAAGUCGAUCUGGGACGCCGAGUUCGUCGUUUACGACGAGCCGCCCGACGAGUCGCUCGAGUACCUGGAGAGCGACGGCGCGAGGCUGCUGCUGCGCGAGUCUCGGGUCGUCCUGAAGGAAUGGCUCGCCGCGAACGAGCACGAGACGUCCGAGUUCUCGUGGCAGGCCCUGAUGAUUCUCAACAUCAACGUGCGCAGGCUGCUUGCCAUGCUGGGUUACAUAAUGAAGGCUGGCCAGCACGCCGAGACCGACGAGGAUUCCAGACAGGCGUGCCUGGAGGCCACGAGCCUUUACCUCAUGCUCCUCACGAUACCGGGCAGCAACGCGUUCAGGGUUUACCAUCCGAACUUGUACCAGCGAGCGAUCGAGACGCUGAAGAUGUCGCAGAGUUUGUUCCCCCCGGUCAGAAGCGGUAAGGAAGUAGAUAUGAUAAAUUCCAGCGUCGACGACGACGAGCCGUCGUCGGACCGUCGCGGCCGGACGUUGCAUUCCGAGAGGUCGAAGCUCGCGCGAGGACUCGAUAGAAUUAUUUCUGAUCUAAUUGCCAUGUCGAAGUCGUUUCGUUUUAAAGAGCACACCGACUCCCUGGACGUCACGAUACGCAUGCUGCUGGAUAUCACGAGGCUGGAGAUGUACAUCAGGUCACACAACAAUUACGGAAUAGCGUCUCUGUCCCGUAACGCGUUUGCAGCUCUGCAGGAGCUGUGCAGCAGCAGUCACGGAACUGUCGCCCUGACGAUAAUGUUAAUAGCGCAGUACAUGCUGCCCGAUCUGUUGUUCCAUCACGUAAACGCCCAACCGAAAUCUAUAACCAUUGUGCACGAGGCGGCUAUAUAUUUUCUGAAAAAUUUAUUGAAGAUUCACCAGCGGGAGACCGUGCAGGGAAUCGUUACUUUGAUACACCAAUUAAUGGUGAAGUGUCCGGAAAGAUUGGAGGGACGUCAGAGGCAAGCGGCCGUCGUGAUAAAACUGUUGAAUAUAUGUAACAAAGACGUUGUCGUAAGUGUUUUCGAGGACAUAAUAUUAUUCUCGCGCAGCGGUAAGAUAUCUUGCAGAUUAUUCGCGCAGGAGAUUGUAGGAAAGCUUUUAACGGAAUCGUCUUUGUCGAACAACGAUUUAGACAAGGAGAUCAAGCUGAGGAUGAGAAAGAUUUUGAUAGCGAUUGUAUUGUCCCGUUGUACGGAUCGGUCUUCCUUGGUGAGGGGGAAAGCUAUGGCCACGCUUGCCUCGUUUUCUGAUUGCAACGACGACGCCGACAAGACCAUUCUUAAAAGCAUGUUCGAAGCUUCAGCCUCGCAUAAAACCUUUCCCAUGCUUGACGAGCUGAAAGGAGCGUUAUUGGAGGACGUUGAUCCGUUGCCGGGAUCAACCGCUUUAAUCGCAAUGUUGCUGGACAGAGUCAACGACGAGCGCGCGCUGGUACGACGGAGCGCUUUGAAGAUCUCGAGAAACCUGUCCAUCAUGUUCCCGUCACUUAUAAGCAAAAUGACGCACGUGAUAAGCGAUCGUUGCAGGGAUCCCACUUUGACCGUGCGCCAGUUUGCCGUGCACGUCCUGUCGGAGAUCCUGCAGCAGUUCCCUCACGAUUCGGGUCUUCUCGACGAAUGGAUACAGGCUGUUGUACCGCAGAUAUACGACAUCGAAGCCAAAGUUCAAGAAAAAGUGCUGGAGUGCCUGGGAAACGUAUUGAUAAAUAGAAUAACGAGCGCUACUAUGUACAUUCCAGACGCUGCGAAUAGCCUGCCGUGGAGGAUCCUGGAUAGAUUGAGUAACCUGAGAAUGAGGAAACAUUUGUCGAAAGCUUGCAGCUUAUGGGUGAAGAACGGCGACAUUACCAAGUCUGUGAUAUCGAAUUUGCAGUCGCACGUCGGUACGGACAACACUAUAGGCGCGUGGAUACUGCUGGCCGCUCUAGCCGAGAAUAUGAAGAUUCCGAGUAUAGAUAGAUAUAUCGUGGAUUACAAGGAAGUCAUCCGGAAGAACGAUUUCCACGCGAGUUUGGUUCUACACGUUUUAAGGUACGCCUGGUCGGUUUUGGAUCGCGAUUGCCUCGAGGACCUCUAUCAGCAUCUUUACAAAUGUAUUUGCCACUUCGAGAUCAAUUUCAACUUGAUCAGCAUUUGCCUGGACAUCCUGAGUAGCAUAUUACGAUACUUGGACGCCGUUAAAAGCAGCCAUUUGAUAGAAUCGAACAUGGUGGAGCUGAUGAAGUUGUCGGAGGCGAAGGUACAGGACUUGCUGGAAGAGAGCGAGAGCUGUACGCAAGACACGGUGAAGAUGAGAGCUAUAUUUACCCUGGGCCACUCGUCGCUCUUGUGCACCAACAAGAUUUCGUCGUCGACUUUGCAAAUUCUCGGAAGAUUACUGUUGCAGUGGGAAUCACUGCCGGACACGGUGAAGGAAAUAAAAGAUCUACAGGCGUCCGCGGUGGUUCUGCUUUGUCAGCAAGCGCUGAGGGAUCGCGAAGUGGCGAAGGAAGUCACGCCGAUACUCGGUAACCUGAUGCGCCAGGAAACGAAUCCGAACUCGCUGACGAAGACCGCCGUCAAGAUAAACGCCGCGAAAGCGCUGGCCGACAUCUGCGUGAGAUUCACCGCUCUGGUGGAGCCGUACCUGCCGGAUUUGUGCAUCAGCAUGAAGGACCCGAAUCCAGCCGUGAGGGAAGCUAUAGUGGUGAUAUUCAUUCAGCUGUUGCUGGAGGAUUUUAUAAAGAUGAAGGGACCAUUUUUCUUUCACAUAUUGACGAUGCUGUCGGACACGGACAGGAUGAUACGCGAACUGACGACCUUCCUAGUGGAAGAGAGACUCUUGAUGAAGAACAAGACUUUGAUCUCCCAACAGUUUCUGGAGAGCAUAUAUCAUUACAACAACUGCCGCUCCCGGAGCGCGUUCUGCGGACACGGGAUGCGCGAUCAGGAGAGGAAGCUUCUAACGCUGCCCGGGAGAGCGAAUCGGGACAAACGUAAUGUCAUUUACGAAUUUAUGCUCGAACAUUUGGACGUGUCCGCGAAGUCUGAACUGCUUGUGAAACUGACCAAGUACGUACUUCGCGAGAUAUCCGACGAGAAUUCUAUCGACGUCACGACCGAGGAGGGUGCGUGCGUCUUGAAGGACGCGGUGUUCAUAAUUAACAAUAAUCGUAUGCAACCGUCGUCCCUCGUUGAGAAACACAGGGGUGAUACGUCGGAGCUUGAUGACACGACCUCGAGUCCCUCGUGUACGCCUAACAACAACGCCACGAACGUCAUUAUAGCGGCAAUGAAGAAACAUAAUUUAGAUAAUUUAUUACCUACGUUAAUUACGCUUAAGAAAAAGCUGGCUGCACUGAAGUCUCCCUUGGAGGACGACGUAGAUGGUCUGCUAUUCAAGAUUUACUCGGAAUACGAAAAAGAACAUCUGAUAAACUUAUUAAACGAAUAUCCUGAAUUGGAAAAAGAAAUGGAUCGUUACCAACGGAGACUGAAAGACAAAAUUAAUUCAGAGAACGAUGACGGUAAAAGCAGCAGUUUGUCACCUAAUGUAAAUAAGGAGCUGGCGGAAAUAUGUAAGCAAACGACACCCCGAGUUCUACUUCACCGUAUUUCACGCUCAACGAUAUCGUGCUGUAAGAGCAAUGAAUCAGUAGAUUCCGGUAAUCGCUCGCAAAUCGCAUCAACUUACGACGCGUUAAUUAAAGGUUCGUCGGUGCAUCCGGAAAGAUCGUUGCUGAUACAAACGCCACCUCCAGAGCCGAGCUUCGGUACCAGCACGCCUAUAUUGACGCAAAAUCUAGAUUCCUAUUCCAACGAGUCUCCCGCUCAAAGAAUACGCGUGAAAAGGCCCUUGAGCGACCAAGAAAUAUCGUCGGAUAUGUCUCGACGUAAAAUUCUAAGGGACAGCGUGAGCUAUGAUAAUUUCGAUCUCAGUUUCGAACAUUAGAUGAGUCGUUCACGAAAUCUACGUACAAAUCUACCUACCUCGUAACUUUCGCUGCACGCGAAAAGCCGUCUGCGAGAUCGUGCACGUGCGAGUCUCCAAUUCUUUUUGAUAUUGUUAUGCAAGUUCUUCACGAUAGAAACGUUUUCGACUAUAAGAUGGAUCAGAGCGCGUAUUUCCUCGGCCUACAUCAACACGGUGUGUCUCAAUUAUUACGAUUAUGAAAGAGUGCAAGGUACACAGUUUUGAACUGGAUAGCGUUUAUACGUACUUCGUCGA